rnacentral:lncRNA from 1 species
CUCGCCCUCCGGGUCUUGCUCCCUGCACCUCAGCUUGGUCACGCCUUCCCCAGGGGACUCAGGAUCAGGCUGAGACGCGGUGCUGGAUGAGACUUUGCCUGCGGGACUCUCCACUCUGCCGCUCCAGCCCUCGGCGGGUCACGCCAGGCCUUCCUGGCUUUCCACUGGCAGCUGAAUCCUGGAUCCUGGGCGAAGCUGACACUUUCCCCUCCGUCGCGCUCCCUGGGGCUGGGUUUGUGCAGUCGCACUCGUGUGCCAGAUCACACACGAAGCUCACGCGUGUCCUCGCGACUCUGUGCAGGCAUGUUCGUAUGUGUGUGCAUGUGUCUCCAUGCGCGCCACGCAGGGCUCUUGAAAUCGGUCAUCCGGGACGGCGGGCACCUGAGGAAGAAGCGUCAGUGUUGCAGAGUUUGGGCCAGGCUGGAGGGGCAAAGGGGCUGGGAAGUGAGUCCGGAAGACCCCCCUCACAAAGCCAGGACCCCGGGCAGACAUUUCCCAAGUAUUUACUGAUUUGUCUCAUUUUUCUGCUCCUCAAACAAUGCAGGUUGCCAUUGGAGUGGUUCCCUUGCUCUCCAUAUGACCCUCAGCAGGUGAAGGGCGGUGUGGCUCUCGAAUGGCCAGGUUCUCAGUUUGACAGUUGCACCUGCUCCCAGUCUUCCGCUUCUGGACUAGACACGAAGGGGCCACAGAACCCUGUGCCAAGCUUCCUGUCGCGUGGCUGGCGAGUGCCCACAGCAGCUCAGGGACAGCGCCCGGCGCAGCUGCCCAGCUGGAUGGCUCUGGUCCGAAGCCAGCCACAUGGUGCCUGCCCCUACCCACAGCACAGUGCCCUGCUGAGCCCGAGCUGCAGCUGGAACACGGGGGCCAAGUGGGCAGUGCAUCUGCAGAAUUGUACUUGCAGCUUGUGAACAGAGGCGGGACUUACCAUUUCGCUUGUAUUCAGCCAGUGUGGAAUCUGUGACUGGCUGAAGGAAGCUUCUUUUAUGGCAGAGCUGGGUAACACCCCGGCUGCUGAAAUUCAAGGUGUGAUCAAACAUAUGGUGAAUAUGGAAACUGUCCUUACAGUGAAAGACACGGGCUAUUAAUCCCUCUAAUGCUCUGCUCCUCGAGUCCAGCACACUUAGCCCAUCAUUCUGCCCCUUCCUGCAUCCUCUUUCCUGGCUUUCUUUAGUCGUGCUGUCAUGGCUGCCUCGAGGUCCUGAUAGAUUAAAAACAUUGACCUUUUGUGGUCAUUUUGACUUUGAGGAAGAACCAGAAGUCACAUGGUGCCAGAUCUGGUGAAUGAGUGCCAGCAUUCUCCAUAUUUUAAAAAUAUAUUUCAGAAAAAUGCAAAAGAAGAUGUCAAGUACUGUUCAGAAAGGGGUGAGUGUGCUCUGAGCGAGGAGUGUGUUCGGUGGGUUAAUAGUAAUGUGUCUUUUUCUGCAAUACACCUUUCAGAACUGAAUAUUCCCUGUAUAUUUUGCACUCGCCUCAUAUCCAAGAUGAUGAGUAGCAUUCCUGAGUCUCACAGUUUACCCUGGAAAGACAGACAGUGCAAAAGCAAAUGUGGGUGAAGCUGCCUGGGUCCCGCCACACACUGCCUCCUGCCACUCAUCGCUGUUCUUCGUUUACCACACACUUUGCUUCUUUUUCAGAGCUAGUUUUCUUUAAGAAUGUCUUUGUGGGGACAGGGGAUUUGGCUCAGUGGUGCCGCUGCCUGCCUCACAAGCGCAAGGUCCCGAGUUCGAUCCAUGGUACCAAAGAAAAAAAGAAUGUCUUUGUGAAGACAUGAAAAUUACUAACUUGGUAGUGUUUGUCGCCAAUGGUAAAAUUCAGGCUUUCUGGUAAAAAUUAGGAUUUUAGAAAACUUAUGUCCAUCCCUGUGAACAUUACUGAGUCCUAAAAAUU